UCACUCUUUCAACCUCAUCUCAGGUACUCUCUCUCUUUCUCUCUAUACUGUUUUUUUGCGUUUGGAUUUUGGAUUCCUCACUUUCUCCGCUCAUCUCAAAACCUGCAUCUAACUAUCUCGAUCUUCUCCAUCUUUUUUCAUCUGCUUCCACUUUUACUACCAUUCGUUCAUUUUUUGCUUCAUAAUGUUACAUUACUACUUUUCGAGCUAAAAUCCAAUUUCAUUUUGCGACUCUUGUUAGAUUCGCUGUUUUUCUUUCUCUCUGACUUUUUAUCGAACACUUUACGGACUAAAACGGUCUAG